rnacentral:snoRNA from 1 species
GGGUCAAUGAUGAGAACUCAUAUGGUCUCGAAGGGCGAUGAUGACCUAAAAAUCAUGCUCAAUAGGAUUACGCUGAGGCCC